GUGCACCAGGCGCGAAACCUUCGCAAUGCGGGAAACCGCGACGAGGGGACUCCCAGUGCCUACGCUCAGCGUAGGCUGUUCCCGAGCCUAGAAAGCUCGGGGAGUAAGGGCUGGGUAAGACGGGUGCCAGCCGCCGCGGUAAUACCCGCAGCCCGAGUGGUGGCCACUAUUAUUGGGCCUAAAGCGUCCGUAGCCGGCCCGGUAAAUGCCUGGGUAAAUCGUGAGGCCUAACCUCACGAAUUCCGGGUAGACUGCCGGGCUAGGGACCGGAGGAGGGAGAGGGUACUCCAGGGGUAGGGGUGAAAUCCUGUAAUCCCUGGAGGACCACCGGUGGCGAAGGCGCUCUCCUAGGACGGGUCCGACGGUGAGGGACGAAAGCCAGGGGAGCGAACCGGAUUAGAUACCCCGGUAGU
rnacentral:rRNA from 1 species